AGUGAACGCUGGCGGUAUGCCUAACACAUGCAAGUCGAACGGCAGCACAGUAAGAGCUUGCCCUUACGGGUGGCGAGUGGCGGACGGGUGAGGAAUACAUCGGAAUCCACUAUUUCGUGGGGGAUAACGUAGGGCAACUUAUGCUAAUACCGCAUAUGUUGUACGGGUGAAAGCAGGAGAUCUUCGGACUUUUCGCGACUGAAUGAGCCGAUGUCGGACUAGCUAGUUGGCGGGGUAAAGGCCCACCAAGGCGACGAUACGUAGCUGAUCUGAGAGGAUGAUCGGCCACACUGGAACUGAGACACGGUCCAGACUCCUACGGGAGGCAGCAGUGGGGAAUAUUGGACAAUGGGCGCAAGCCUGAUGCAGCCAUACCGCGUGGGUGAAGAAGGCCUUCGGAUUGUAAAGCUCUUUUAUUGGGAAAGAAAAGAAGUAGGUUAAUCCCCCGAUGUUCUGACGGUACCCAAACAGUAAGCACCGGCUAACUUCGUG
rnacentral:rRNA from 1 species